rnacentral:sRNA from 1 species
UCAUAUGAUUUGUGUCGGCGAGGUAUC